AACUUUCAACAACGGAUCUCUUGGUUCUGGCAUCGAUGAAGAACGCAGCGAAAUGCGAUACGUAAUGUGAAUUGCAGAAUUCCGUGAAUCAUCGAAUCUUUGAACGCACAUUGCGCCCGCCAGCAUUCUGGCGGGCAUGCCUGUUCGAGCGUCAU
rnacentral:rRNA from 2 species